UACGGAGGGUGCAAGCGUUAAUCGGAAUUACUGGGCGUAAAGCGCACGCAGGUGGCUGAGUCAGUCGAUUGUGAAAGCCCUGGGCUUAACCUGGGAAUUGCAGUCGAUACUACUCGGCUCGAGUAUGGGAGAGGGCAGUGGAAUUCCCGGUGGUAGCGGUGAAAUGCGUAGAUAUCGGGAGGAACAUCAGUGGCGAAGGCGGCUCUCUGGACCAGCACUGACACUGAGGCACGAAAGCGUGGGGAGCAAACAGGA
rnacentral:rRNA from 1 species